rnacentral:piRNA from 1 species
CCAGUUCUGAAACAUGCAGCCAG